rnacentral:misc_RNA from 1 species
GAUGAAGAACGUAGCGAAAUGCGAUAAGUAGUGUGAAUUGCAGAAUUCAGUGAAUCAUCGAAUCUUUGAACGCACAUUGCGCCCCUUGGUAUUCCAUGGGGCAUGCCUGUUCGAGCGUCAUUUGUACCUUCAAGCUCUGCUUGGUGUUGGGUGUUUGUCUCGCCUCUGCGUGUAGACUCGCCUUAAAACAAUUGGCAGCCGGCGUAUUGAUUUCGGAGCGCAGUACAUCUCGCGCUUUGCACUCAUAACGACGACGUCCAAAAGUACAUUUUUACACUCUUGACCUCGGAUCAGGUAGGGAUACCCGCUGAACUUAAGGAUAUCAAUAAGGAGGA